rnacentral:rRNA from 1 species
ACGUAGGGGGCAAGCGUUAUCCGGAUUUACUGGGUGUAAAGGGAGCGUAGACGGAUGGGCAAGUCUGAUGUGAAAGGCUGGGGCUCAACCCCGGGACUGCAUUGGAAACUGCCCGUCUUGAGUGCCGGAGAGGUAAGCGGAAUUCCUAGUGUAGCGGUGAAAUGCGUAGAUAUUAGGAGGAACACCAGUGGCGAAGGCGGCUUACUGGACGGUAACUGACGUUGAGGCUCGAAAGCGUGGGGAGCAAACAG